rnacentral:rRNA from 1 species
UGGGGAAUUUUGGACAAUGGGCGAAAGCCUGAUCCAGCAAUGCCGCGUGUGUGAAGAAGGCCUUCGGGUUGUAAAGCACUUUUGUCCGGAAAGAAAUCCUUGGCUCUAAUACAGUCGGGGGAUGACGGUACCGGAAGAAUAAGCACCGGCUAACUACGUGCCAGCAGCCGCGGUAAUACGUAGGGUGCAAGCGUUAAUCGGAAUUACUGGGCGUAAAGCGUGCGCAGGCGGUUUGCUAAGACCGAUGUGAAAUCCCCGGGCUCAACCUGGGAACUGCAUUGGUGACUGGCAGGCUAGAGUAUGGCAGAGGGGGGUAGAAUUCCACGUGUAGCAGUGAAAUGCGUAGAGAUGUGGAGGAAUACCGAUGGCGAAGGCAGCCCCCUGGGCCAAUACUGACGCUCAUGCACGAAAGCGUGGGGGAGCAAACAGGAUUAGAUACCCUGGUAGUCCACGCCCUAAACGAUGUCAACUAGUUGUUGGGGAUUCAUUUCCUUAGUAACGUAGCAACGCGUGAAGUUGACCGCCUGGGGAGUACGGUCGCAAGAUUAAAACUUAAAUGAAUUGACGGGG